UACGUAGGGUGCAAGCGUUGUCCGGAAUUAUUGGGCGUAAAGGGCGCGUAGGCGGCAGGCCAAGUCGGGAGUGAAAGCCCGGGGCUCAACCCCGGAAUGUCUUUCGAAACUGGCCAGCUUGAGUGCGGAAGAGGCAACUGGAAUUCCCAGUGUAGCGGUGAAAUGCGUAGAUAUUGGGAAGAACACCUGAGGCGAAGGCGGGUUGCUGGGCCGAAACUGACGCUGAGGCGCGAAAGCCAGGGGAGCAAACGGG
rnacentral:rRNA from 1 species